GUACCUAUAAACAGCGACAAAAGGUUUGUGAGUUUCCAAAUAUCCGAAAGUUUUCAAUUCCGUGUAUCGAUUCUCCGGUCACAACCUAACCUUGAGACCGUCCACCAGGAGCGCCCUGCACCCCAGGCCGUCAACAUCAACGGAGGGACACGCGGAAGGCGCGACCAAGGUGUAUACCGCGGCGAAGACCGAGGAAAGAAUAAUAGAGGGAAGACGCUCUAAUGGCACGAAAAUGUACUUGGAUGCACUUCCUGACACCAAAGAACAUCAUCCCAUUGGUUGUCUACUACGAAGAGGGAAUGACACCAGAGUCCGCGUCACGCGGCAGCACAUCGUGCGGGGAUUGGCGUUGGCGGCCGAGAGGGGAAAACCGACGCGCUCUCCGCGGCAGCGUGCGCAACAAGCGACGCGAUUGGCGGAAAGAAAGAAGAGAGGGAAAGCUCGCACGGGCAAGUAUAAAAGAUCGCGUUACGAGCGCCCGUGAGCUUUCGCGCGGAAACGUUCAUGAGGAAAACACCUCACCCACUCGAGAUUAUCAUUUCCCGCCGAAUGCGAGUAGGCGCGCGAGUGUUGAGUGAAGGUUCCGCGGGUUCAAGAUAGUUUGUGAAUUCCGCGUUAAGAUUAAACAAUCGACUGAAUGCUAGUAGGUUCGAUUCGUACUCAAGAUAUAAAUUCACGUUUACACGAAUGUGAAAAAGCGUCGCGUACGGGGCUUGUGAACAGAGUCUUCUCGAGGAAAUCGAGAUUCGUUUGCACGAAUGUGAAAAGCGACGCGACCGGGUACUUAUGUGAUAUAACUACUAAAGUUGAAAUAAACUUAGCUUUUGUUAUUUGUUGAACAAAA